AGGCAGAUUGGCAACUGCCACUGCCCUGCAGCUAAACAGCUACUUUGAGAUACUUCCUUGAAGAAAAGCUUGCCUGGGGGUUGCAGUGUCUCACCUGCAGAAGACUCAACACCUGAUCUUAUCCAGAAGGAAUGAAAACAUCUAUUAAGAAAACUUGUACAUGUCUAUAGCAUCCUCGUCAUGGGCUGGGAUGCCCAUGAAUAGAAAGUGGACACACAUUCGGUUACCUGUAUAGUGGAAUCUAACCUGCGCUGGAGAACUACCCUCAAAGUACAGGGUUAAAAAGACUUUCCACAAGGGAGUCUUCUACAUGUUUUCUUUUGUACCAGCUUCUAGAGUUGACAGAAACUUACCCACGAUGAAGCAAACUGCAGGCAUCUGCAGUGGUCUUCACAUUCAGCUGGUGGCCCCCACUCAUAUGCUGUCAUCUCAAUUCCCUGUGACAACACUUGAUGGAGACCAGCCACUAGAGAAUAGUCAAGAGGACAGAGAUCUCCUCUUUGAGAUAAGGUGAUGUGUGAAGAUGCAGCCAUUGUAUACUACGGAUAUCGAGCAAAACUCCUCACUUUGGCGAAGUUUAGAGAAGAAGCAGUCCCUAGCAACGGUUCCGCUUGAACUUUCAUCCAGGACCACGGAGCUCAGCCCACCACUUUCCUGGCAUUGACUCUUGACAUCCAUCUUGGAAGGGAAACAUCCUAAAACCUAGUAUCCUGAGUUAAUGCCACUUCACUGCUGUGCCUGAAAUCUCUGCCCUCGCUUCUGAAGGGCAGUUUCCUUCUGCUUUCUGGGCGAGGGAAGAAGCAAUUGCCUCGCUCUGCUGAGCUGUUCUCAGACCAGCAUUCCCUUCCUUCCUCUUUUCCUGCGUCAUUCCAGCUUCUCCACAUGACCACUGCUCUCAGAUCUCUUCCAGACACAUCAGAUCUUUCGUCAGGGUUGCCCUUGACAUCUUCCUAAGAACUUGGCCUGCCAGGCAUGUUUUACUUUUUCUCCACAGUGACAUUUUCAUCGCCACCCACUCCAAAAUCCAAAUGGCUUGCUUACUUGUCCCUGGCAGCUCGUCAUUGGUCUAGGACUUCCCACAGUGGUGCGCUGCAGGCCACUCUUCUCCAAGCUUACUCCUAAGGCUCAUUCUCCCUGAUCCCUGUUCUCCUGCUUAGGGGUGGGGUUCUAGUUCUGAUUUCUGCCCUCUGUUCUCUCUCUUCUGCUCUUAUUGCUCACCUUCUUUUUCCUUCUGCUCUACAAAUGUUUAACACUUCUGCGACUUUCCUUGCUCCUUCCACAUCUGCACAAGAAAAGGAGGCUCAGGUUAGGACAAAAAUCAACUCAGGUGGCAUCUCAGCACAGCUCAACGGUUCUAUCAACUGCCACUUUAACUCUUUCAUUGCCGCUUUCCCCCCUUGUUUCAGCUGAUCGUCUAGUGUCAUCAGGAAUAUCAAUGACAUAAGAACACUGUCAUUUUCUUCAGGGUCACAUUUAGUGACUCUAGUCUGUUUUUGAGGAUUACCAUCUUCUUUCUUUCUUUUAAAUAUAAGCAUAUAGUUAUAUGAUAUACAUUAACUUAAGUGUGUGUGUGUAUGUGUAUGUGUGUGUGUGUGUGUGUGUGAUGUGUGCCUGAGUAUAUGUAUUUAUGUAUACCGCAUGUAUGGAAGUCUCAAUAGAGGCUGGAAGAAGGCAUUAGAUUCCCUUGAACUAGAGUUAUAGGUAGUUGUGAGCAGCCUGAUGUGUGUGUUGGGAACCACAUCUAGGUCUGAAAUGCUCUUAAUCACUGAGCCAUCACUCCAGCCCCUACUUCUUUCUUAUUAUUAACAGGAAAGAUAAAUGUGUCCCUUUUAUCCAGCCACCUAGUCCAGCACCUUGAAUUCUUCUCCAUGCAAAUAAGGCAUCUCAAUAGCUUUAGCCUUCAGCCAAAGUGACAUUUUCCUUCCCUGGAUAUUCUCACACCCUUCCCCACUUGAAUCACCCUCAAGAAAACAUGCAUUAAAACCUACACCAAAUAAAGACAUACAAACAAGCUAAGAUAAUCUCAGAGAACUGCUUCAUUAAAGAUUGGCUGAGCCACAGCACUACGAUUCUUGGCGCAGCACUCCCCACCCCUACUGCAGACCCACCUGUUCCAGAUUUUGCCCUGUCCUUUCCAAGCAGGUGGCUUCCAGACACGCAGAGAGGAGAGGCAGAACCCGGAGCCACGCCCCUUCUCCAUUCAGAUCUCCCCAUCUAUACGGACUCUCACAUUAUCCACCUUUAUUUUUCCUAAACCUUCAUUACCAUAAUUCAACAGUAUCUGUAUCAUUUCCCACCGGGCACAUCCUUGAGGCUGUAGCCCUUCCUGCUAUGGCCCUCUCACCCAUGAGCAUUCAGAAGCCUGUUUCUCCGUGCAUGGUCAGUACAUACCACUUUCCAGUUUCGCUGCCUUUGACCUUUGACAGGUUCUGAAAUGCUCUCUGUUCCUGCUACUUCAUUGCAACUGUUUUGCCAAGACUGCCCACUUCCUGGUACUAAUUUCAAAGAUCGAUUUUUCUGUUCUCUUGUAGCAUCUAAGAACACAUUUUUAAACUGGAACCAUGAUUCUUUAGAAUUGAAUCUCUGAAGAGGGAGGACGGGCAUGGCUGUAUGUGCAGACUCUUAUCUCUAGCCCCAACAAGUGUAUUUCCUUUAGUGACAAUACCUGCCUUCCCUGUAGCUAUAGCCCAACACAGGGCCUCUGUGGGGGCAUUUCUUUAACUCAUAAUUCAAGUAAAGACUAAUCUCUCAGUAUUCCUAGUUUAUAUAUAGACUGAAGUUCUUCUUUAAGAUACAUCAGCAUAGUGGAAAUAUGUAAACAACUUUAGCCAAAAGCCUAAGAAAACAAAAGAAGAUAACUCUAAGGAGGUAGGUAGGGUCACUCGUCAGUAGCCUAGAGAUUCCAAUAGGUUGAUUAUUAAAAGAUGGCUCAUAGUCUCAUUGCUGAGAUCUCCUUUGGUGCCCACUAAACAUAAGUCCUUUCAUUUAUUCUUUGUCCUUAUAUAAUUUUAGUUUUUUAAAUUUUAACUUUUUUCUUAUUUCGGUUUUUUUUUGUUUUGUUUUUGUUUUUGUUUUGUUUGUUUUUUGUUUUUGAGAUAGGGUCUACAUAGCCCAAGCUGUCCUGGAACUCACUGUAUAGACCAGGCUGACCUUAAACUCAUAGAGAUCUACUUACCUUUCCUUUCCUUUAUUCUUAAGGAUGAACAACAUGCUAUUUCAUAAAGUUUCAUUUUUACAUGUAAUUAAGAUCUAGGUACAAAUAACUUAUUGAGCAAUAGAACUUUAGAUAAUUC
rnacentral:lncRNA from 1 species